AUUGAACGCUGGCGGCAUGCCUUACACAUGCAAGUCGAACGGUAACAGGUCUUCGGAUGCUGACGAGUGGCGAACGGGUGAGUAAUACACCGGAACGUGCCCAGACGUGGGGGAUAACGAGGCGAAAGCUUUGCUAAUACCGCAUACGAUCUAAGGAUGAAAGCAGGGGACUGCAAGGCCCUGUGCGGUUGGAACGGCCGAUGGCAGAUUAGGUAGCUGGUGGGAUAAAAGCUUACCAAGCCGACGAAUUGGAACUGGUCUGAGAGGACGACUACCCAAACUGCAACUGAGACACGGCCCAGACUCCUACGGGAAGCAGCAGUGGGGAAUUUUGGAGAAUGGGCGAAAGACUGAUCCAGCAAUGACGCGUGAAGGAUGGAAGCCUUCAGGUUGUAAACUGCUGUUGUAGGGAACGAAAAGGGUCUGGCUAAUACCUGAGCAACAUGGCGGUACCGUAAGAAAAAGCACCGGCUAAAUACGUG
rnacentral:rRNA from 1 species